rnacentral:rRNA from 1 species
CCUACGGGAGGCAGCAGUGAGGAAUAUUGGUCAAUGGCCGAGAGGCUGAACCAGCCAAGUCGCGGGGGGGGUGACGGCCCUACGGGUUGUAAACCUCUUUUGUCGGGGAGCAAGACCCGCCUCGUGCAGGCGGAGCGAGAGUACCCGAAGAAAAAGCAUCGGCUAACUCCGUGCCAGCAGCCGCGGUAAUACGGAGGAUGCGAGCGUUAUUCGGAUUUAUUGGGGUUAAAGGGUGCGCAGGCGGACCAUCAAGGCAGCGGGAAAAUCGUGGGGCCCAACCCCAUCCCGCCGUGGAA